AAACCGCCUAGAGGUAAACGGGUGGAUCCGCAAAGUCGGCCCGCGGAAUUCAGCUCGGAUGGCUGGCGCGUGCGCCGGGCAAGAGAUCUGAACGGACUCUCCUGGUGAACGACGCUGGUCGGCCGUGUGCACUUUCCGCGGGCAGAGCGCCACGACCGGUUCUCGGGUGGUCAGAAGGCGGCGAGGAAGGUAGGUGGGCGCUUCGGCGCCUACUGUUAUAGCCUCGCCUGACCCGACCCACCUGGGGACCGAGGAGCCGCCGUCGGUGUAGGCCGCCUCGCUUUCUUGGGAUGUUCGACUGGCGGAGACUGGGCAACCGUGUCUGCCGACCGCUUCCUGAGAUGGACUGGGGUGGGCCCGCCGGCACAGGGUCAGUGGCGAAUCGGUCGGCCCUUCACCCGACCCGUNUUGGA
rnacentral:rRNA from 1 species